rnacentral:rRNA from 1 species
AAAGGAAUAGACGGGGGCCCGCACAAGCGGUGGAGCAUGUGGUUUAAUUCGAUGCAACGCGAAGAACCUUACCUGGGCUUGACAUGGGAAUGACCGCUCGAGAGAUCGAGUUUUCUCUUCGGAGACAUUCCGCACAGGUGCUGCAUGGCUGUCGUCAGCUCGUGUUGUGAGAUGUUCGGUUAAGUCCGGCAACGAGCGCAACCCUCGUCCUUAGUUGUCAUCAGGUAAAGCUGGACCCUCUAGGGAGACUGCCGCGGAAAACGCGGAGGAAGGUGGGGACGACGUCAAGUCCUCAUGGCCCUUACGCCCAGGGCUACACACGUGCUACAAUGGUCGGUACAAUGGGAUGCAAAGUCGCGAGACGGAGCAAAUCCUCAAAGCCGUCCUCAGUUCGGAUUGGAGGCUGCAACUCGCCUCCAUGAAGCUGGAAUCGCUAGUAAUCGUGGAUCAGCAUGCCACGGUGAAUACGUUCCCGGGCCUUGUACACACCGCCCGU